rnacentral:tRNA from 2 species
GGGUAGUUAGUUAAACGGUAUAACUACGGUCUCCAAAACCGUCGUUGGAGGUUCGAUUCCUCCACCGCCCGCAA